UGUGUCUAAUUGGAUGCAGAAAGAAACAUAAUGGGAUAUGAGAAAAUGCAGAACUCUGUUUUUCGCUGCCAACCGAAACCUGCAGUUAUUUGCUGUCGGCAAUUCUCUCUGUCGUUUUUUCUGCUCCAUUGAAACAGAAGACAUUUCAUGUUUUGUUUUUUUCCCCAUGAAUUUUAAUUUCAAAAUAGGCUUCCUGUGUUUUCAACAACCCAGAGAAUGUCAUUUUAAUGCACGCUGAUGUCAAAAUCUGACUGGAGGUCUUUUGACAGUCGCCCCUCAUGUCAAAGUUACGUUGGUGGUGAUUGCGCCCCUCAUUUCUCAAACCUGGGGUAACAGUAAUAGCCAUCUGAAGACGUAUGGUCAUAAAGGGCAUUCUGCUGUGAAAUUACAUGCUUUUAUUUCUUUUUUUAAGGGAAUUGUUCAUGCAAAUAUGACAACUGAUUCUGUAAAGGGCUAUUAGGGUUGGCAUGGCAACGGCAUUUGUAAACCAAGGGCCGUAGCUCCAUUAACACACUCUCCAGAUUAUGACAUCACUCCCUCUCUGGUGUCGCAAGAACUGAUUCACAGGCAGACGGGGGUAAACAACAGAACUGUGAAAGAGAGACUAAAUUUCCUUGCUUCUUCAUUCAGCUUUGCCCGGAAGUGAAGCCGUGUCCUUAGAGACCGUGUGCCAGCGUGGGGCUCUCUCUACCCUUCAAUUGUGAUGGAGGAACUCGGAAGAGACCAUUUUAGCUCUCACAACAGCUGAAAUAGGGGAGGGCAGACAUGUGAGGUGAUCUUCUGCCUAUUCCUCAGAGUGAUAUGUAUUCACUGUAGGCUGUUUCAUAAACUGCUCAUGGGAGCUUCAAAAGCCAACUGAUUUAUGCCUGUCAGCGUGUAUAGAAUGUGCUAUCUUCUGCUGCGUGUGAUUGCAUGUGUGUGUGUGUGUGUGUGUGUGUGUGAGAAAGAGACAGAAGUGUUCCAGUCUGGGGAAAGUACUGACCACUCUAAUUAUCCUCUAUUUUCUUCAAACAUGGCGGAGCUUUUGUGCGCUUGUCUCCUGAGAUUCACUCCCCCUUCUCAUUUUCUUUGAGAUUCAAUUCCACUUCAUCCCUCUCUGUCUUCUACAUAUAAAACACCUUCUUCAAUUAUUCCGCUGACGUUCAUAUCUGUAUUAUUUGACGGCCAGGUCCGGUCAAAGGGGCCGUUCACCUCACUAUCCUGUCAGUGACUACAAUCAAUCUGAGAAAAAGGCCCAUUUUCUGAGAAUCUGUGUGUGACAGAGAGAUUUACCAUAAAUAACAAAAUGGUUAUAUGUACAUCAAGAUAUAUUUCCCAACAAUGCCACAUUUUUUUAAUUUUCUAAUGGUCAUUGAAAAUUUUAAAAUAUAUUAAUUUAAUAAUUAUGACUAUAAAUUCUAAAAUAGGUA